rnacentral:rRNA from 1 species
GUGGGGAUGACGUCAAAUCCUCAUGGGCCUUACGGGCUGGGCUACACACGUGCUACAAUGGCGGUGACAAUGGGAUGCUAAGGGGCGACCCUUCGCAAAUCUCAAAAAGCCGUCUCAGUUCGGAUUGGAGUCUGCAACUCGACUCCAUGAAGUUGGAAUCGCUAGUAAUCGUGGAUCAGCAUGCCACGGUGAAUACGUUCCCGGGCCUUGUACACACCGCCCGUCACACCAUGGGAGUUGGUUCUACCUGAAGGCAGUGCGCUAACCCGCAAGGGAGGCAGCUGACCACGGUAGGGUCAGCGACUGGGGUGAAGUCGUAACAAGGUAACC